rnacentral:piRNA from 1 species
UAAAGACUCACACCACUGCUUCUGAUC